rnacentral:rRNA from 1 species
GUGCAGCAGUCGCGAAACCUUCGCAAUGCACGAAAGUGCGACGAGGCUACUCCGAGUGCCAUCCGCUGAGGAUGGCUUUUGCCAGGUCUAAACCGCCUGGAGAAUAAGGGGAGGGCAAGUCUGGUGUCAGCCGCCGCGGUAAUACCAGCUCCUCGAGUGGUCGGGACGAUUAUUGGGCCUAAAGCAUCCGUAGCCGGUUCUGUAGGUCUCCUGUCAAAUUCAACGGCUCAACCGUUGAGCUGCAGGAGAUACCGCAGGGCUAGGAGGCGGGAGAGGUGGACGGUACUCUAUGGGUAGGGGUAAAAUCUUCUGAUCCAUGGAAGACCACCAGUGGCGAAGGCGGUCCACCAGAACGCGCUCGACGGUGAGGGAUGAAAGCUGGGGGAGUGAACUUACCCCGGUAGUCC